GGAUUCCGUGAAGGGUCCCGUGAGGGCCUCGGCUGUGGCGGAAGGUCCCGUGAGGGGAUCGGCUGUGGCGGGGGAAUCCCGUGAAGGGUCCCAUGAGGGGCCGGGCUGGGGCCAGGUCGGGGAUUCCGUGAAGGGUCCCGUGAGGGGCUGUCCCGGGACAGGAGAUCCGUGAAGGGUCCCUUGUGGUCCAUGUCGGGUUGGGCUGGGACCGGGGAUCCCGUGAAGGGUCCUUUUUGGGCUUGGGAAUCCCGUGAGUGGUCCGGUGAGGAGGCGAGCUGGGGGCUGGGAGCAGCGGUCCCAUGAGGGGUCAGGUUGAUGUUGGGCGUUCUAUGAGGGGUCUGGUCUGGGACUGGGGCCAUAGGGUCCUGUGACGGUUCCAGAUUAGGGCCGGACUCCCCUCGUAGCUGUUGUGAGGCAGAGCCUGGCCCCUGGUGCUGGAGAUCCGCCCAGAGCCGUCCGUGCCAACACAGUGCCUCCAGUGAUUCCGGUGAUACACUUUUCUUCUGUGGCGUAAUGGAAAACUCUUUGGACAAGGAGGCAGCUCCUUGCAGCUCUACAUUUGCAGGGUCUAAAGAAAUGCUGAGACCUCCAUCAGCUUGGUCAGCACUGACUUUUGUGAGAGUAAAUUGGCUGGAAUCCUGAUGGAUGAACUCUGAAAUAAUUCCAUGAGUUAUGUUGAGCAGGACUACACAGACUCAUCACUGAGAUAAAGAGGCCUGAAGUGCUCAUUGUGUGCGAUGCUCUCCACAGGGACCAUUUCCUUCUUUGGAUCCAUUUGCUUUACGAUGAAUUUG